UACGUAGGUGGCGAGCGUUGUCCGGAUUUAUUGGGCGUAAAGCGCGCGCAGGCGGUCGCGUAAGUCUGCUGUGAAAUCUCCCUGGCUCAACCGGGAGGGGGCGGCGGAGACUGCGGGACUGAGGGACCUAGAGGGCGGUGGAAUUCCCGGUGUAGUGGUGAAAUGCGUAGAGAUCGGGAGGAACACCUGUGGCGAAGGCGGCCGGCUGGGGGUGCCCUGACGCUGAGGCGCGAAAGCGUGGGGAGCGAACCGG
rnacentral:rRNA from 1 species